UACGAAGGGUGCAAGCGUUACUCGGAAUUACUGGGCGUAAAGCGUGCGUAGGCGGUUUGUUAAGUCUGUCGUGAAAGCCCUGGGCUCAACCUGGGAAUUGCGAUGGAUACUGGCAAGCUAGAGUACGGUAGAGGAUGGUGGAAUUCCCGGUGUAGCGGUGAAAUGCGUAGAGAUCGGGAAGAACACCCGUGGCUAAGGCGGCUCUCUAGUACGGUACUGACGCUGAGACGCGAAAGCGUGGGGAGCGAACAGG
rnacentral:rRNA from 1 species